CAUAAAAUGACGGGAGGAAUGUGGCUUCUCCGGAAGUGUUAUAGCCUCUGGUAGAUGUGAUGACCGGGAUUGAGGAUUGCAACGAAUACUCUCUGGGCUACCUGCCUGGUCUCUGGUCGUCGCUUUGGUGCCGAAAGCGUGCUUACGGUAUUAAAGUAGGUGGUCAAAAGGUUAGAACGGGUUAAAUUCGUUAAGGAUGUUGACGUAAUGACUUUAAACGA
rnacentral:rRNA from 1 species